rnacentral:rRNA from 1 species
UAAAUAGCAUAUCAAUAAGCGGAGGAAAAGAAACCAACAGGGAUUGCCCUAGUAACGGCGAGUGAAGCGGCAACAGCUCAAAUUUGAAAUCUGGCUCUUUCAGAGUCCGAGUUGUAAUUUGCAGAGGGCGCUUUGGCUUUGGCAGCGGUCCAAGUUCCUUGGAACAGGACGUCACAGAGGGUGAGAAUCCCGUACGUGGUCGCUAGCUAUUGCCGUGUAAAGCCCCUUCGACGAGUCGAGUUGUUUGGGAAUGCAGCUCUAAAUGGGAGGUAAAUUUCUUCUAAAGCUAAAUAUUGGCCAGAGACCGAUAGCGCACAAGUAGAGUGAUCGAAAGAUGAAAAGCACUUUGGAAAGAGAGUCAAACAGCACGUGAAAUUGUUGAAAGGGAAGCGCUUGCAGCCAGACUUGCUUGCAGUUGCUCAUCCGGGCUUUUGCCCGGUGCACUCUUCUGUAGGCAGGCCAGCAUCAGUUUGGGCGGUGGGAUAAAGGUCUCUGACACGUUCCUUCCUUCGGGUUGGCCAUAUAGGGGAGACGUCAUACCACCAGCCUGGACUGAGGUCCGCGCAUCUGCUAGGAUGCUGGCGUAAUGGCUGUAAGCGGCCCGUCUUGAAACACGGACCAAGGAGUCUAACAUCUAUGCGAGUGUUUGGGUGUCAAGCCCGAGCGCGUAAUGAAAGUGAACGGAGGUGGGAACCCGCAAGGGCGCACCAUCGACCGAUCCUGAAGUUUACGGAAGGAUUUGAGUAAGAGCAUGGCUGUUGGGACCCGAAAGAUGGUGAACUAUGCUUGAAUAGGGUGAAGCCAGAGGAAACUCUGGUGGAGGCUCGCAGCGGUUCUGACGUGCAAAUCGAUCGUCAAAUUUGGGCAUAGGGGCGAAAGACUAAUCGAACAUCAUGUCAU